rnacentral:misc_RNA from 1 species
GUCAUGGGCUUCUCCCUUCUGUUGUUCUUCAAUGGCUAAAUCUCUCUUCUUCUUCUUCAUCCUGUUUUCCCUACCCAUCAACACUAGCACCAAUCUUCUUCUUCUUCUCACUCUCCAUCGUUUGCCCAUUACCGGUCUUCACCUUCUCCUCAUGUUCCUUCACUCUCUUUUAUAGCUUUCACUCUCCUCGCCGGUUCUCCCGGUAACUUUGGAUACCCUCUUUCUUUCUGUUCAAUUCAUUCUUCAACUUUCUGGAGUACUAGAGGAGAAAGGAGACGCCUUUUUUAUAGACUAACUUUGCUUUAUUCAUUCCCAGGUAAAAAUAGAAAAGCCCGAAGUGUAAUGGACAAAAUUUUCCAUCUCUACCCUCUUCUUACAAAGUAGUUAUCCAGGAUUCUGUUUGGUUGGAAAAGGUGAGAACGAAUAUUCAGCAAUAAUUCAAGAAUCAUCAAAGGCACCCAAUUGAGGCAGUUAAUGUCGAUGGCUUCGGUGUUUUUAUAUCAUGUCGUGGGAGAUCUGACGGUGGGAAAGCCGGAGGUGGUGGAAUUCUGCGAGACUGAAACGGUGGAAUCGGCGAUUCGGGCAAUCGGAGAGUCGAAGGAUUGUGGAAUUCCCGUGUGGAAGAGGAGAUCGCAUGUGGGUAUGAUUGAGAAUACCGAAAUGAGGCAACAGNNNNGGGAAUCCUUAAUUCUCUAGAUAUUGUGGCCUUUUUGGCUAGAGCUCAGUGCUUGGAGGAUCAGGAGAAGGCCAUGAAG